CCUACGGGGUGCAGCAGUGGGGAAUAUUGGACAAUGGGGGGAACCCUGAUCCAGCGACGCCGCGUGAGUGAAGAAGUAUUUCGGUAUGUAAAGCUCUAUCAGCAGGGAAGAAAGAAAUGACGGUACCUGACUAAGAAGCCCCGGCUAACUACGUGCCAGCAGCCGCGGUAAUACGUAGGGGGCAAGCGUUAUCCGUAUUUACUGGGUGUAAAGGGAGCGUAGACGGCGAUGCAAGUCUGAAGUGAAAGGCGGGGGCGCAACCCCCGGACUGCUUUGGAAACUGUAUGGCUGGAGUGCAGGAGAGGUAAGUGGAAUUCCUAGUGUAGCGGUGAAAUGCGUAGAUAUUAGGAGGAACACCAGUGGCGAAGGCGGCUUACUGGACUGUAACUGACGUUGAGGCUCGAAAGCGUGGGGAGCAAACAGGAUUAGAUACCCGGGUAGUC
rnacentral:rRNA from 1 species